rnacentral:snRNA from 1 species
AUUCUUACCUGACAGGGGAGAUCCCAUGAUCACGAAGGUGGUUUUCCCAGGGCGAGGGCUUAUCCAUUGGACUCCGGAUGUGCUGACCCCUGCUAUUUCCCCAAGUGUGGGAAGCUGGACUGCAUAAUUUGUGGUAGUAGGAGACUGCAUUUGUGCUCUCCCCUG